rnacentral:rRNA from 1 species
GCGUGAUGGCUUAAAAGUAGCAUAAGUGAUUUGUUUUUUUAUUGUAUUCUGGUAUGAAUGGGAAUUAUAGUGGUUUAUUUUUUUAUUUUUUUUAUGAAUUAUUAUUAUAAUUAAGAAUUAUUAUAUUUAAUAAAGCAAAGAUAAGUCUUCGAAAAUUUUUUUAUGCAGUUUGCAUAAUUUUCUUGGGAAUGGGAUUUAAGAAAUUUUUUAUAUUUACUAAUUUUAGUUUUAAAAAUUACUUCGGAGUUAACAGAACAACAAACAGUAUUAUAGAUUUAUAUAUAUUUAGUUGUGUUACAUCGAUGUUGUAUAUUUUAUUGGAGAUUAGAAGAGAAAGAUUUUUUUUUAAGACUGUUCUUCUUUUAUAAAAAUAAAACUUGAUAUUAGUUUAGUUCGUCGUGAGACAGACGGUUUUA